rnacentral:rRNA from 1 species
CUACGGGUGGCUCCAGUGGGGAAUAUUGGACAAUGGGCGCAAGCCUGAUCCAGCCAUGCCGCGUGUGUGAAGAAGGCCUUCGGGUUGUAAAGCACUUUCAGUUGGGAGGAAAGGUUAGUCGCUAAUAUCGGUUCGCUUUGACGUUACCAACAGAAGAAGCACCGGCUAACUCCGUGCCAGCAGCCGCGGUAAUACGGAGGGUGCAAGCGUUAAUCGGAAUUACUGGGCGUAAAGCGUACGCAGGCGGUUGAUUAAGCGAGAUGUGAAAGCCCCGGGCUCAACCUGGGAACUGCAUUUGAACUGGUCAACUAGAGUGUGAUAGAGGGUGGUAGAAUUUCAGGUGUAGCGGUGAAAUGCGUAGAGAUCUGAAGGAAUACCGAUGGCGAAGGCAGCCACCUGGGUCAACACUGACGCUCAUGUACGAAAGCGUGGGGAGCAAACAGGAUUAGAUACCCGCGUAGUC